AACCCUCCUUCCUCCUCCUGCCCAUUUCUGUAGUGAGAACUGGGGGAAAUUAGAGCUGUGGCUCAGUCUGUGGUGACUCCCAAAACUCUCUGUGAAGAGCACUGCAGAGACUGAAUUGGACUUACAGCAGAGGAAGCUGAGCUAAGAGGGUUCCACUUAAUAUAUAAAUGACACAUGGCAGGUGUCUGGAAGUGGAACAGGAGAGCUGUGGAGUACUUGAAGACUGAAAUCAUUGAGAGGAAUUUUAAUGGAGGAUUCUGGGUUGGCUUCUUUGCAGGUCCAGGAUCCCACCAUUUUCACUGUCUAAGAAAAGAUUAUUUUAAGUACAGAAGCAAAAUUUGUUUAAACUGGAAAAUGUCAGAGCUUUGGAGAGAAUUAGUAACCAAUAAUUAGUCAAAAUAAUUGAGGUUAGAAACAAGAAUCUUCUUACAAGAAAUGAAAAAUCAUA